GCUCGGGUGGAACCGAUCACGGUUCAGGAGCUUUACAGCCAGCUCCUGAGCUUUGAUGCCCGUCUCAGCCUUCUUCACGGCAGCAACCUUCGCCAAUCUUCUGCCAACGCUGUCUCCCGUGGCCGCGGCCGUGGGCGCGGUCACCAGGGGCAGUCCUGCACCGGUGGGCGCGGGCAUGGCCACUUCCAGGGAGAUGGCGGCUACAGCAACUCUGGAGGCGGCGGCUACAACAACUCCAACAGCUACACCAACAAACCAUCAGGCGGCGGCUUCAACAACAACUCUGGCCGCCGCUCCUCUUCAUCUUCCCGGGGGCGCCCUCGGUGCCAACUCUGCAAAAAGGCAGGCCAUGAGGUUCUGGACUGCUGGCACCGGUAUGAUGAAGACUUUGUCCCCGAUGCACGUCUUGUUGCUGCAGCUAUGCGCGAGCAAGGGGGCGAUGGCGUGUGGUACGUCGACUCUGGUGCAACCGACCACGUUACUGGUGAACUAGAGCAACUUGCUCUUCGGGAGAAGUACCUUGGCAACGAUCAAAUCCAUACUGCAAGUGGUGGAGGAUCGGGCAGCGAGGGAACUUCUACAUCACGGUAG
rnacentral:rRNA from 1 species